CGCGCCUAUAUGUGAGUAAACACACGAGCCAUUUGUUCGCGUCCCCUGAAUUUUAAUUUCGCUGUACGUCAGGUACUCUUCAUGAGGUGUCCUCCCAAUUUGGUUGGUAGUUCGGACCUGCACUGUAGUACUCGGGUUGCUAUUCCGUUUGUUUGUGAAUUUUUCUGCUCCACAAAUAGGUUUCCCCUCUGUACAAUCCGUAAUUUCUCUGUUAAAUGGAAACGGGGCAAAGGGGACAUAUAAUUUCUCUGCUAUUGCGUUGUCUGGAUCGAGUUGUUAUGUCUAGGAAUCAUACAUCUGAUGCCUGGAAGCAAGCUGAUUGAUGUAGUAAAUCAUUCUAUGAGUAUGCUCGUUUCAUAAUUUACAGAGAUCCUAGAAGUUAUUUCCGCUUUAGGCGUCUGGACUGGAUUCUGAAGUGCUUACUUAUUUUGUAGUUUGCAUUAUGCAAAUGGUGAAUGAACCCUGCGAGUAAUUUCUUUCAGCUGUAUGAAAUAUGCAUGACUUUUGGAAGAUUUUUGAAAUGUUUUGCACGUUGUACAGCUCUCACCAGCUAAAUCAAACGCAGUAUAAGUAUCUGAAGUACCAAACACCUCUUGGUUAUUGUUUAGUUUUUGGUUCUGAUGCUGAAUCUCUGUUCAUGUGCUUUUAAGGUUGGUUCGUUGUUGUAUUGGUUUGUUGCAAUAAAAAGUGCUGCUGCUUGAUAACCAAUCAUAAAAUUGUUCCUCCUGUUCUACCUUUUUUUAGUCUUGUACUCAUGUUGGGAGUGAAAAUAUUUGAUGAUUCAGUCAUACGGUGAUUGACAACUUCUUGCUUGUCUUGAUUUAGUAGCGCUCUUAUAUUUGGAUACAUAAACUUUUAUUUAGUACAGAAGACCUUGUUGCUAUUUCACGGCACUUGUUGGCAGUUUCUGCAGUCAGAUGCUUCACUGUAUAUCAUGCAAUGCAGUUGAAAGAACACACCUACUUUAUCUUAAUGUAUGUAGCUUAGCCUCGUUUGUUUUCGUUUUCUGUAGUUUAAGAUUUUAGUAUGCCAUAGGAUAUAUGUUGGAGAUAUAACGCUCUUUUUCCAGUUGUUGUGGCUGCUGAAGCAUAUUAUUUUCUGUCCGUAGGGCAGUUAGCCUGUUGAAGGCAGUUGCUUGGGCUUGUUGAGCAUAAAAGGUAGCUUAGCCUUGUUUCACUAAACAAGGCUAACAUCAAGUAUGCCAACCCAAAGGGGCUACCAUCCCUUGUGUUUCUAUUAUGUUUAAUCAGUUAUAUGUCUUUCUUCUCCACUAUAGGACUGGUGGGCUAGCAUCAAGUAUGCCAACCCAAAGGGGCUUGGUUUACAGGAGUUUGAGGCAGAACUGGAUGAGUUACUGUCCAGGAGUCCAAGAAUUGAUGCUAGGGAGCUUAAAGACUAUGAACUGCACCAGGAUCAGCUAGCACAGGGGGCCUAUGCUGCUGGUUUAAUCAGGACAUCGACCGAUGGGUACCAAAAAAUGGCACUGUCAAGGAAAAUUCUACUGGGCAUGUACCUGGAGGGUAAGAAGUAUACACCCGAGGCGGACCACUUUCGCAAGGAACUGCACCUGCAGAUCGAAGCAUUAGAGCAUCCCUUAUCCGCUCUCGCCAAGUCCAAGAAGAACUAUCAGACUAUGCCACUCCUGUUCCUGGAGAUGCCUGAUCUCCUCCCUAAGCAGGAGAAGAAGAAUAAGAGAGCUUGAGGCUGUUGCUGGACUGCUAGUCUGCUACAAGAGGAAAGAGGUGGUUUAUCUGACUGUACAGAAUUUGGUGUGAGGCCUGAGCCGGCCCAGGCCACAGACAGGAACCUUGUAUUUUCAUUUUGAAGUCGAAUAUGUACAUUUUAGGACCUGUCGUAUGUGAUGUUGUUGCAUACGCUAUAGAAAACGAAGAUGCCAUAUUCAUACCGUCCGGCAUACUCUAGUACAUCGAUAUGCCACGACGUUGAUACCUUAUGUUUGUGAUAUAUAGUACUUUGACAAAUGCUUAAUUUCCUGCUA